rnacentral:rRNA from 1 species
AUAUGACCACGAAACCGAUAGCGAACAAGUACCGUGAGGGAAAGUUGAAAAGUACUCUGAAUAGAGAGUUAAAUAGUACGUGAAACCGCUUAGGGGUUAAGCCCGAUGAACCCGAAUAUCUGAUGUGAGAAAUUCA